CCUCGAUGUUGGUUUAAUUUAAUUUUUAAAACGCAGAAGUUUUAAAAAUUAGGACUGUUCGUCCUUUAGAAAUUUACUUGAACUGAGUUCAAAUCGGUGAAAGCCAGAUU
rnacentral:rRNA from 9 species